rnacentral:lncRNA from 1 species
GAAAUGAAGGUUUUUUUUCUUUGUUAAUGGUGAAGAAAUUAACAAUUUCUUUGUUGUGUAACCCUAUGUAGAUACUAGAUAUUCGUUAAUGAAUUUUUUAUUUGUUUUUUAUACCUUAUUUUGAUAUACAAUCAGGUCCAUUAAUGGUCAUCUUUCAUACACACUCAAACGAGAUUCGAAAAUUUCAAAUAAUAUAUCAUACAAAUGUAUUGAAAUAAUAAAGGAGAUGAAAUGGACACCAAG